rnacentral:rRNA from 1 species
UACGUAGGGCGCAAGCGUUGUCCGGAAUUAUUGGGCGUAAAGAGCUUGUAGGCGGUUUGUCGCGUCUGCUGUGAAAUUUCGGGGCUCAACCCCGAACUUGCAGUGGGUACGGGCAGACUAGAGUGUGGUAGGGGAGACUGGAAUUCCUGGUGUAGCGGUGAAAUGCGCAGAUAUCAGGAGGAACACCGAUGGCGAAGGCAGGUCUCUGGGCCAUAACUGACGCUGAGGAGCGAAAGCGUGGGGAGCGAACAGG